rnacentral:rRNA from 1 species
CCCUAUGGGGCGCAGCAGGCGCGAAACCUCUGCAAUAGGCGAAAGCUUGACAGGGUUACUCUGAGUGAUUUCCGUUAAGGAGAUCUCUUGACACCUCUAAAAAUGGUGAAGAAUAAGGGGUGGGCAAGUCUGGUGUCAACCGCCGCGGUAAUACCAGCUCCUCGAGUGGUCAGGGCGUUUAUUGGGCCUAAAGCAUCCGUAGCCUGCUCAGUAGGUCUCCUGUUAAAUCCAACGGCUCAACCGUUGGUCUGCAGGAGAUACCGCUGGGCUAGGAGGCGGGAGAGGCGGACGGUACUCCGAGGGUAGGGGUAAAAUCCUUUGAUCCCCGGAAGACCACCAGUGGCGAAGGCGGUCCGCCAGAACGCGCUCGACGGUGAGGGAUGAAAGCUGGGGGAGCGAACCGGAUUAGAUACCCGGGUAGUCCCAGCUGUAAACGAUGCGAGCUAGGUGACACGACGCCUUCGGGGCAUCGUGGUGCCGCAGGGAAGCCGUUAAGCUCGCCGCCUGGGGAGUACGGACGCAAGUCUGAAACUUAAAGGAAUUGGCGGGGGAGCACCACAAGGGGUGAAGCCUGCGGUUCAAUUGGACUCAACGCCGGAA